rnacentral:rRNA from 1 species
UUCCGUAGGUGAACCUGCGGAAGGAUCAUUAGUGAAUAUAGGACGUCCAACUUAACUUGGAGUCCGAACUCUCACUUUCUAACCCUGUGCACUUGUUUGGGAUAGUAACUCUCGCAAGAGAGCGAACUCCUAUUCACUUAUAAACACAAAGUCUAUGAAUGUAUUAAAUUUUAUAACAAAAUAAAACUUUCAACAACGGAUCUCUUGGCUCUCGCAUCGAUGAAGAACGCAGCGAAAUGCGAUAAGUAAUGUGAAUUGCAGAAUUCAGUGAAUCAUCGAAUCUUUGAACGCACCUUGCGCUCCAUGGUAUUCCGUGGAGCAUGCCUGUUUGAGUGUCAUGAAUACUUCAACCCUCCUCUUUCUUAAUGAUUGAAGAGGUGUUUGGUUUCUGAGCGCUGCUGGCCUUUACGGUCUAGCUCGUUCGUAAUGCAUUAGCAUCCGCAAUCGAACUUCGGAUUGACUUGGCGUAAUAGACUAUUCGCUGAGGAAUUCUAGUCUUCGGAUUAGAGCCGGGUUGGGUUAAAGGAAGCUUCUAAUCAGAAUGUCUACAUUUUAAGAUUAGAUCUCAAAUCAGGUAGGACCUCCCCCCCC